UAUUACAGCAACUGGAGGAAUCAAUUCGUUAAUAGGUAUUAUAGCGGAGUUAUUAUCAAUUGUGUUGUAUGCUGUCAUGCUUUUGCUGUUGCUUGAACCGUCUUACCGGAUGCGCACUGAGAUGACACGAACGAAGCUGCUGGUGGCAACAAUCCUGAAUGGCAUAAUCUCUCAGCCUGACAUGGAAAAUACACAACGGGAUCUGUUGGACGAGUUAUUCCUCUUGAUGAAGAUUCUGCAAUACGAACAGCCGGUCUACUCGGCGUUUGGGGUUUUUUGGAUGGACAAACCUUUUAUCUUAAAUAUACUUGGAAGUAUCGUCACCUACUUCGUGUUUAUUUACAACUAGGAUGUGUAUUGUAUUAUAUCUACAUACUAACGUAUAAGAAUCUAUAAUUUAAAAUAGAACACAAGCAAAAAAAAUCUUUCAGGUUGACCACUAC